GUCCCUGUAGCGCAAUGAAAAGCGCGUUACAAUGGUCAUGGGUUCGAAUCCCGCCUGGGAUG
rnacentral:tRNA from 1 species